UACGGGGGGGGUAAGCGUUGUUCGGAAUUACUGGGCGUAAAGGGCUCGUAGGCGGCCAACUAAGUCGGACGUGAAAUCCCUCAGCUUAACUGGGGAACUGCGUCCGAUACUGGAUGGCUUGGAUUUGGGAGAGGGAUGCGGAAUUCCAGGUGUAGCGGUGAAAUGCGUAGAUAUCUGGAGGAACACCGGUGGCGAAGGCGGCGUUCUGGACUGCAACUGACACUGAUGAACGAAAGCCAGGGGAGCAAACGGG
rnacentral:rRNA from 1 species